rnacentral:misc_RNA from 1 species
AUCAGAAAAACUUAAAAAAAAGACUCAUUUCUCUCUCCUCUGUUCUCUCUCUUCUGACCACCAAAUCAAGCUCCGUUGGCUGGAAAAGAAAGAUGGCAAUGAGAGGAAGCCGUUGCCAUUGGAAUCACGUCCAUCCGAUGUCGAACGGCACCAGAACGAGUGCCUAAAGUUGGCUACCAUAUCUCUCUCUCUUCCAUUUUCACACUGCUGCUGCAUAUCUGGCCGUUUAUCAUGGCUGCUAGAGGGUCACUGG